AAAAAUUCCAGUGUUACUUUGCGCCACAUUCUCAAUGAUGCACAGUCUGUGUUCAGUUAGCACAUGGAUCAGUAGCUAGCUUUGUUGAGGCUAUAUGCCAGUCAUAGUUUUUAAUACCUGCACUCAAACCACCUGUCAUUGGAGCCAUUUCUCAUUCUGCAAAAAUAUGCAUCAUUCAGUAACUUGAACCAAACUUAUUUAGCUUGUUCACCUUAGGUAACUUGGUAACUUGGAGAUGGGUGGACAUGUUUGGGCUUCCUUCACCCUUCCCAGGGCAUGCCAAUCUUUCCUACACUCCACUAUUUAUCCAUUUGUGGGCUGGCCAAGAGUUGGGCUGAGUUGGCCACUGCCAAGAUGGCGAUUGCCAGAGCCAGCCACAGUUGAACUUCAAAUUCUUUCUUCAGAAAACAAAUGUGUGACUUCAGAGGCUUUAUCCUAUAUAUAUGCAGUCUAUGGACCUGCUACUGCAUCUUUAUACACAUUGUGUUUGAAAGUCUGAGAAAAUGCUGUGUUGAAAUGUUCCUGGCUGCAAAGUGAUUUACAAAAAUGUUUCUCAAAUGUAUUACCAUCUGGCUUGUGGCGUCACAGUUGCCUGACUGCUAAGUGGCAAAAUUCUGGAGCCCCUCCCCAAAAAA